CCUACGGGAGGCAGCAGUGAGGAAUAUUGGUCAAUGGACGAGAGUCUGAACCAGCCAAGUAGCGUGAAGGAUGACUGCCCUAUGGGUUGUAAACUUCUUUUAUAUGGGAAUAAACUGUUCCACGUGUGGGCUUUUGUAUGUACCAUAUGAAUAAGGAUCGGCUAACUCCGUGCCAGCAGCCGCGGUAAUACGGAGGAGCCGAGCGUUACCCGGAUUUAUUGGGUUUAAAGGGAGCGUAGGUGGAUUGUUAAGUCAGUUGUGAAAGUUUGCGGCUUAACCGUAAAAUUGCAGUUGAUACUGGCAGUCUUGAGUACAGUAGGGGUGGGCGGAAUUCGAGGUGUAGCGGUGAAAUGCUUAGAGAUGACGAAGAACUCCGAUUGCGAAGGCAGCUCACUGGACUGCAACUGACACUGAGGCUCGAAAGUGUGGGUAUCAAACAGGAUUAGAUACCCCAGUAGUC
rnacentral:rRNA from 1 species